rnacentral:rRNA from 1 species
UACGGAGGGGGCGAGCGUUAUUCGGAAUUAUUGGGCGUAAAGGGCUCGUAGGCGGCCAACUAAGUCAGACGUGAAAUCCCUCGGCUUAACCGGGGAACUGCGUCUGAUACUGGAUGGCUUGAGUUCGGGAGAGGGAUGCGGAAUUCCAGGUGUAGCGGUGAAAUGCGUAGAUAUCUGGAGGAACACCGGUGGCGAAGGCGGCAUCCUGGACCGACACUGACGCUGAGGAGCGAAAGCCAGGGGAGCAAACGGG